UACGUAGGUGGCAAGCGUUAUCCGGAUUUACUGGGUGUAAAGGGCGUGUAGGCGGGAUGGUAAGUCAGAUGUGAAAACUAUGGGCUCAACCCAUAGCCUGCAUUUGAAACUAUCGUUCUUGAGUGUUGGAGAGGCAGGCGGAAUUCCGUGUGUAGCGGUGAAAUGCAUAGAUAUAACUUAGAACACCGAUAGCGAAGGCAGCUUACCAGACUGAGUCUGACGCUGAUGCACGAGAGCAUGGGUAGCGAACAGG
rnacentral:rRNA from 1 species